rnacentral:rRNA from 1 species
UAGGGAAUCUUCCGCAAUGGGCGAAAGCCUGACUGAGCAACGCCGCGUGAGUGAUGAAGGUCUUCGGAUCGUAAAACUCUGUUAUUAGGGAAGAACAAAUGUGUAAGUAACUAUGCACGUCUUGACGGUACCUAAUCAGAAAGCCACGGCUAACUACGUGCCAGCAGCCGCGGUAAUACGUAGGUGGCAAGCGUUAUCCGGAAUUAUUGGGCGUAAAGCGCGCGUAGGCGGUUUUUUAAGUCUGAUGUGAAAGCCCACGGCUCAACCGUGGAGGGUCAUUGGAAACUGGAAAACUUGAGUGCAGAAGAGGAAAGUGGAAUUCCAUGUGUAGCGGUGAAAUGCGCAGAGAUAUGGAGGAACACCAGUGGCGAAGGCGACUUUCUGGUCUGUAACUGACGCUGAUGUGCGAAAGCGUGGGGAUCAAACAGGA